UGGGGAAUUUUGCGCAAUGGACGAAAGUCUGACGCAGCAACGCCGCGUGGGUGAUGAAGGUCUUCGGAUCGUAAAACCCUGUCGUCAGGGACGAAGGUUGCAUGUCUAAUAGAUGUGCGACUUGACGGUACCUGGAGAGGAAGCCCCGGCUAACUCUGUGCCAGCAGCCGCGGUAAUACAGAGGGGGCAAGCGUUAUUCGGAAUUAUUGGGCGUAAAGGGCGCGUAGGCGGUGAUUUAAGUGAGAUGUGUAAUCCCCGAGCUUAACUUGGGAACUGCAUCUCAGACUGGGUCGCUAGAGUGCUGGAGAGGGUGGUGGAAUUCCACGUGUAGCGGUGAAAUGCGUAGAGAUGUGGAGGAACACCAGUGGCGAAGGCGGCCACCUGGACAGUAACUGACGC
rnacentral:rRNA from 1 species